AACCUACACUAAUCCCAAUUUUCAUUCUGCCCGUACGCCCAUCAACCUCUCAGUUACACUAAACCUACACUAAUCCCAAUUUUCAUUCUCCCCGUACUCCCAUCAACCACUCAGUUACACUAAAUCUACACUAAUCCCAAUUUUCAUUCUCCCCGUACGCCCAUCAACCUCUCAGUUACACUAAACCUACACUAAUCCCAAUUUUCAUUCUCCCCGUACUCCCAUCAACCACUCAGUUACACUAAACCUACACUAAUCCCAAUUUUCAUUCUCCCCGUACGCCCAUCAACCACUCAGUUACACUAAACCUACACUAAUCCCAAUUUUCAUUCUCCCCGUACUCCCAUCAACCACUCAGUUACACUAAACCUACACUAAUCCCAAUUUUCAUUCUCCCCGUACUCCCAUCAACCACUCAGUUACACUAAACCUACACUAAUCCCAAUUUUCAUUCUCCCUGUACUCCCAUCAACUACUCAGUUACACUAAACCUACACUAAUCCCAAUUUUCAUUCUCCCCGUACUCCCAUCAACCACUCAGUUACACUAAACCUACACUAAUCCCAAUUUUCAUUCUGCCCGUACUCCCAUCAACCACUCAGUUACACUAAACCUACAUUAAUCCCAAUUUUCAUUCUCCCCGUACGCCCAUCAACCUCUCAGUUACACUAAACCUACACUAAUCCCAAUUUUCAUUCUGCCCGUACGCCCAUCAACCUCUCAGUUACACUAAACCUACACUAAUCCCAAUUUUCAUUCUGCCCGUACUCCCAUCAACUACUCAUUUACACUAAACCUACACUAAUCCCAAUUUUCAUUCUCCCUGUACGCCCAUCAACCUCUCAGUUACGCUAAACCUACACUAAUCUCAAUUUUCAUUCUGCCCGUACUCCCAUCAACCACUCAGUUAAAACUAAACCUACACUAAUCCCAAUUUUCAUUCUGCCCGUACUCCCAUCAACUCUCCUCAGAUUCUGCCCUCAUCUGUAAUGUACACUGGCCAACGAAUCUACCAAUCUGCACAUUCUUGGCAUGUUGGAGGAAAACCUGAUGGUUGGUGGGACAGGUAUUGUUGAGGAAGUAGAGAGUCUUCAGAAAGAUUUGGAUACGCUCGGCAGAGGAUGGAGCUCAGAGAAGCUGUGUCGGAGGGGAUGGUCGUCGGCUCGGAGGUUCGACGGACUCAGGUCGCUUUCAGUGUGUGCUGCGUCUGCGAGGCUGGUUUCGACGGAGCUUCCAUUGUGUGCUGAAUCGGGCAGCGCCUUGGAAGUCCAUAGCGGGGGUAUUCCCUUCUGCCACCGGCGUGGGAUGGCAAGUCUGUCGGGACCCUGGGGACUCGUGGAAACUGUGUGGUGAUUUCUUUUGAACUUACAGUCCUUUAACAUCUUGGGACUAUUUUUACUGUGCCCAUAGUCUGAUUUUUUAAUCGAAUAUGCUAUUGUUUGCACUGUUGUAACUAUAUGUUGUAAUUAUGUGGUUUUGUGCAGGUCUUGUAGUUUUAGUUUUUGGUCCUGUUUUUGUCUAGUAGAUUUGGAGCUCCUUUCCAGGGAACGCGCUAGCACGAUAUUAAUAUGCAGCAGCCUCUCUGGACUCUGGACUGGGGAUUGCCAAACAUUACAUGGAUUUUCUCGUGUAUUAAUAUGCUUUUGUCAUAUGCUUUUGUGAUAUCAUUCUGGAGGAACGUUGUCUCAUUUUUUAACUGCAUUGCAUUUGUAGUUUCUAAAUGACAAUAAACUGAAUCUGAAUCUGAUAGGUUGGCAGAAUCGGCAAAGAAUUGCCAAAUGGAAUACAAAGUAGGCACACGUAUGCAUUUCUGUAGAAGGGAUAAAGGCAUAAUCUGCUUUCUAAUCGGGGAGAAAAUUCAGAAAUCAGAGAUGCAAAAGGACUUAGGAGUCCUAGUGCAGGAUUCCAUAAGGGCUAACUUGUAAGACGGAUCAGUAUUAAUAAAGGCAAAUGCAAUGUUAGUAUUCAUUACAAGAGGACUAGAAUAUGGAAGCAAGAAUGUAAUGCGGAGGCUUUGGUCAGACUGCACUUGGAGUACUGUGAGCAGUUUUGUGCUCCUUAUGUGCUGGCAUUGGAGAGGGUCCAGAGGAAGUUUCCAUGAAUGAUCCUGGGAAUGAAAGGGUUCAUGUAUGAGGAGUGACUAAUGACUCUGGAGUUUAUAAGAACGAGAGGGAAUCGCAUUGAAAUACAUCAAAUAUUGAAAGGUUUGGAUAGAGUGGACGUGGAGAGGAUGUUUCCAAUGGUGGGAGAGUCGAGGAACAGUGGGCAUAGCCUCAGAAUACAAACAUGUCCCUUGAGAGCAGAGAUGAGGAGGAAUUUCAUUAGGCAGAGGAGGGUGGUGAAUCUGUGGAAUUCAUUGCCACAGAUGUUAAUAACAAACACAAGAUUUCCUUGUAUUUAGUUGCAGCUGAACCAGAAGCCAAUUUUUUUUAACACAAAAUAUGAGUAACCGCUUGGUGAGCACGUCUGUUUCUGCCCAUGACUGAUGGAGAGUGGGAGAUUAAACCUGGCUGAAGAGGGGAUCUGCUUCACUGAAACCAACAGUGUAAUGUGAAAAUACCCUGCGUUCAAAUUCUGCGAUGGUCCUGAAUGAAGUACAAUUGAACAAGAAUUCAAACCAUGGAUAUUAUCUACAUCAGAGGUUCCCAAACUGGGCCCCCAGCGCCCCCCUCUCCCUUUCCGGCCAUUACAUAAAAACUAUAAAGAAUUUGGAUUUAGUGAAAGAAAGAAGGAACUGCAAAUUCAAAGCAGUGAAAAAUGAUUGAGAAAAAGAUUAUUCAAAUCUAUUUAAAGCAACAAAUAAAGUUGCUAACAUGAGAAAGUCAGCAGAUGCCGGAAUCAAAGUAGUGCACAGAAAAUGGUGGAGGAACUCAGCAGCUGAUGUACGGUGCAGAAUCAAUGUCUGACCUUCACUGGAGAUUAGACUUAAACUUAUGAAAUAAGAAGAAACAAAAGGAGGUGCAGCGCAAUGUAACAACAAGAAAUUGUUUGAUUGUAUUGCCUUUUGUGUUUGCACAUGGACACUUCUGUGGAAGCGAUAUAGACUCUACAGGAUGCAGUCGCUUAAGUUCUCCUGGUGUUAUGGGAGAGACGAGGAGAGAAGACACGAAUGGAGAGAGUUGGUAGACCAACGGAUGGGAUGGACUUGGAACGAGGGUCCGAAGGGCAGCGACGAUUGGAGGAGGUCGAUGUUGGACAAUCGGCUUAUCAGUGAGCUCCAACAUUGUGCAAAAGACUGUUUCAUAAGAGAUUGGGCCCUUUUUCUUUUUUUUUCGAUUUCUUUACUAAUCAUAUGGUCAAAGUACAAAUUAUA